rnacentral:rRNA from 1 species
GACGUAGGGCGCGAGCGUUGUCCGGAUUUAUUGGGCGUAAAGAGCUCGUAGGCGGCUUGUCGCGUCAACUGUGAAAACCCGUGGCUCAACCAUGUGGUCUGCAGUCGAUACGGGCAGGCUAGAAUUCGGUAGGGGAGACUGGAACUCCUGGUGUAGCGGUGAAAUGCGCAGAUAUCAGGAGGAACACCGGUGGCGAAGGCGGGUCUCUGGGCCGAUAUUGACGCUGAGGAGCGAAAGCGUGGGGAGCGAACAGG